CCCGUUUCAGAUGAGGAGACCGGCCGGCUUUGUCUUAGUCAAGUUGGGAGGCUCCCAGUCAUCCGCUGCUUCCCGAGCUCUUGGAACAAAAGCCGGCUGACCUCGUACUUACUAGAUGGGUACGUUUUGUUCUGUUAGCCUGAAGGAGUUCAGUGUGGGAUGGGAUGGCCAAGAGGAGAUCCAGAUGUUUCCUACACUCUCAGACUGAGGAGACUCAAUUCGGAGAGUGCUGCCUUGGGAGGGAUUAAAACAGACGCUUAAGAUGGAACCUCUUUGACUUAAGUAUUUGUUUAAGGAAGCCAGGAAAAGUUUCCAGUCCAAAUUUCCAUUGAAAAACAGAUGAUUGGAGGCAGCUAGGUGGCGCAGUGGUUAGAGCAGCAGCCCUGAAGUCAGGAGGACCUGAGUUCAAAUCUGGUCUCAGACACUUUGACACGUCCUGGCUGUGUGACCCUGGGCAAGUCACUUAACCCCGAUUGCUUCAGGGAAAAAAAAAAAAGAUUGGGUAAUUUAAGGAGUUGGGGGGCCCCGGGUCCGGAAAGGCUUCAGGCACUGCCGGGCACAGACUGGGGCUGCUUUCCCAGGACCCGCCUCACGGCAUUUGGAAAGGCUAAUUACCAGAAGGCUGAGCUGCUGAUGAGAAAAGCUGCCAAUGUGCCUGAAGAAUCCAUUUGCUGCUACAAGAACUUUGCUUGACUAUGUGUUGAUUGGCCUCCCGCUCUGCUCUCCCAGCAGGGGACCCCCCCUGAAACCCCCCCCCCCCACUGGCACAAACAUUUCCAAAUAACAUCCCUUUUUACUAAAAAUGACAAGAUGAUCACUUACAGCCAUAUACCCUAGGCACCUUGGGAACAGCUAGGAGGCAUAGUAGAGAGCCAGGAAUCGGGAAUAUCCGAGUUCAAAUGCAACCUCACUUAAUGGCCGGGUGACCCUGGACAAGUCACUUCAGCCUGUCUGCCUCAGUUUCCUCAUCUGUAAAAUGAGCUGGAGAAGGAAAUGGCCAACCCACCAGUCAGAAAGAGUCAGGACUGAAAAAUGACUGAACGCCCAGAACAAUAUUCUAGGUCAGGCCGCCGGGGCCGGGAUGGAGCGUCAGCAGGGAGUGGAUUGGACGGUCAUCGUCCUGACGUGUCAAUACAAGAACAGCGUCUACGCCUUUCAGAGAGAGCUGGAGGUGCGCAAGAAGCGGGAGCAGGUGCCUCAGAGGACCAUCCUGCUCACGGUGGAGGAUCCUGACGCCCAAGUGGGCAGUGGAGGAGCCACGCUAAAUGCCCUUCUGGUGGCCGCGGAGCACCUGAGUGCCCAGGCGGGCUACACGGUGGUCACUUCUGACGUCCUGCACUCUGCCCGGAUUCUUAUCCUGCACAUGGGCCGAGACUUCCCCUUCGACGACUGCGGCCGAGCUUUCACCUGCCUCCCCUUGGUGGAUCCUGCAGCCCAAGUGGAGUCUCUCACCUGUAACCUGGACGCGCUGCUGCACAUAAUGACCCACAAGCUGGGCCGGGGCUGCCCCCCAGGCGUGUGGGUCUGCAGCACAGACAUGAUCCUCUCUGUUCCAACAAGCCCAGAGGUCUGCUGGGAUGGCUUUCGGGGAGCCAGGGUGUUCUCUCUGCCUGCGAGCGUGACCUAUGCCCGAGACCAUGGGAUCUACCUCACCGACUCCCAGGGCCUGGUCCGUAACAUUUUCUACCGGGGCUCGGAGGCGCAGAUGCAGCAGUGUGCAAGGCCGGACGGGAAGGUGCCGCUGGUCUCUGGGGUUGUCUUCUUCUCUGUGGAGAUUGCUGAGCGCCUCCUGGCCACCCACGUCUCGCCACCCUUGGAUGCCUGCACCUACAUGGGUCUGGACUCUGGCGCCCGCCCCAUCCAGCUCUCCCUCUUCUUUGACAUUUUGCUGUGCAUGGCUCGGGAUAUGAACCGUGAGAGCUUUCUGGCUGGUUGUCACCCCGAGAUGGGCCAGGGCGACGCGGAACAAGCAGGGGAUCGGCGGCGCGCGCGGGCGGUGCUGUGGAAGGGGCUCCGGGACCAGCCUCUGAGCCUUACCUACGUCCCAGACGGCACCUACGAGUAUAUGACCUCGUCGGCCAGCGCUCACCUCCGCAGCCUGACGCUUCCUCGGGACCUCUUUGCGCAGAUCGUGCACUCCCAGGUGGAGAAGCCUCAGUUCUUAGAAGCCGGAUGCUCUGUGGUUAAUAGCCUGUUGGAAGGCGAGGUUCACCUGGGCCCCGGAAGUGUGAUUCACCACUGCCAUCUCCAGGGUCCCGUCCACAUCGGUCCUGGGUGCCUCCUGCUCGGAAUAGACAGAGCUUCCUCCAGCGCCCUCCAUGGCUUGCCACUCCAUGACCUCAUCCUCCAAGGCCAUUAUAUCCAACUGCAGGCCACCUCCGUCCAGGUGUUCACUCUGAUUGGGCGCCAGGACUCCUGGCAGAGCCCGGCCCUGGGGAAGGGCACCUAUCUCAACGUGCCCUGGACCGAGUUCUUUCAGAGGACGGGCAUCCGGGAAGGCGACCUCUGGGACCUGGACACCGGGCCAGCCGAGCGCUGCCUUCUCACGGCGCGGCUCUUCCCGGUCUUCUUCGCCUCCCGGCCCCCCGGCCCCCAGGAUGUGCUGUGGCUGCUGGGCUCCCCGGGAGGAGCCCCCCUGCACGCCUGGAGGGCGGCCUGGCGCAUGUCCUGGAAGCAGCUCCAGCUUCACUUGGACCGCGCGGCCGCGCUGGCUUCCCGCCGGGCCCUCUUCUUCCAGCAGGCCCAGGGCAAGGUGCGGCGCGUGCUGGGGGGCCGCCGGGACCUCAGCCUCCUGCCGCUGAUCAGGGCCGCCGCCCGCGAGGGGCACCAGGGGCCGCUGCUGGCCACCUUGGACCAAGUUGCAGCUGAGGCUGAAGAUCUUGGGGUGGCAGCCCGGGCCUUGGCCUGUAUAGCGGAUGUGCUGGGUUGCAUGGCCGGGGGCGAGGGGGGUCUUCGGAGCGGACCAGCAGCUAACCAGGAGUGGGCCCUAGCCUUCCAGUACCUGGAGAGAGGGGACGUGGCGAGGGGCGUGGAAGAGCUUGCCCGUGAGAGGGCCAAGUGGCUGGGCAGGCCGGCCCUGCUGGUGAGAGCCGCUCGGCAUUACGAAGGGGCUGAGCAGAUCCUUAUCCGCCAGGCAGUGAUGUCUGCCUGCCACUUUGUCACCAUGGAGCCGGUUGAACCCCCGCCUCAUGGGCACUGGGUGGUGGUGGAGUGCCCCUCCCGGGUGGACUUCUCCGGGGGCUGGAGUGACACGCCACCCAUCACCUACGAGCACGGAGGAGCCGUGGUGGACCUGGCCGUCCUGGUGGAUGGGCAGAGGCCCAUUGGGGCGAAGGCACGUCGGAUCAUCGAGCCCGAGUUGCGGCUCUCAACCGGGACCUGUUCGGGGGAGGUGUUCACAGAGCUCGUGUGCCGGAGCCUGGAGGACCUGCAGGACUACUGUCAGCCUCACGCCCCAGGGGCUCUGCUGAAGGCAGCUUUCAUCUGUGCCCAGAUUGUGCAGCUUUCCUCCCCAAAGUCCCUGCAGACCCAGCUUCACCAUGGCUUUGGGGGUGGCUUUGAGCUGCACACGUGGUCCAACCUGCCUCACGGCUCUGGCCUGGGCACAAGCAGCAUCCUGGCAGGGGCGGUGCUGGCGGCCUUGCAUCGGGCAGCAGGGAGAGCGGUGGGCACUGAAGCCUUGAUCCACGCUGUGCUACAUUUAGAGCAGAUGCUUACCACAGGUGGUGGCUGGCAAGACCAGGUGGGCGGCCUUGUACCGGGCAUAAAGAUAGGACGCUCCAGGGCCCAGCUGCCCCUGAAGGUGGAGGUGGAAGAGAUUUCGGUGCCCCCAGGCUUCGUACAGACCCUCAACGAGCACCUCCUCCUGGUGUACACAGGCAAGACCCGCUUGGCCCGAAACCUGCUCCAGGAUGUCCUGAGGAACUGGUACGCCCGGCUGCCCGCGGUGGUGGACAAUGCCCAGGCUUUGGUGAGAAACGCCGAGGAGUGUGCGCAGGCCUUCUGCCAAGGGAGCCUGCCCCUCCUGGGCCGGUGUCUGACUCGAUACUGGGGGCAGAAGAAGUGCAUGGCUCCUGGCUGUGAGCCCCAGGCCGUGCGGCGCAUGAUGGAGGCCCUGAGGCCCUACGUGUACGGCCAGAGCCUGGCAGGGGCGGGAGGUGGCGGCUUCCUCUACUUGCUGACUAAAGAGCCCCGGCAGAAAGAGGCCCUUGAGAGAGUCCUGGCCCAGACAGAGGGCUUGGACAACUACAGCAUCCACCUGGUGGAGGUGGACACCCAGGGCUUCAGCCUGCGGGUGCUGGCCGCUGACACUUCUGCCUGACCGGGCCUAGCCUCCCACGCCCCGUUCCAGCCCCCUUUGGGUGUGAUGCCGGGAAGAGCCUGAACUUGGCCCGGGGAGCCCUGGCUUUUCUGCUUUCCUCCCAGGAAGAGGCAUUUCUGAGCUUCCUGUUGCCAUGUGCCUUCAAUACUCUUGGCAAGUUGGAAAAGCCCUGCCCCACAAGAGAAUAAGAAUGACACACCCUGCAACAAAUUAAAAUCAAUAUACAACCUUAAUAUUAAAGAUCUUUCAGUACUACAAAAAAAUUGAAAAAGCAGCAAAUUAUACUUUUCAAAGCUAUGAGUGUGAGAUGCAUUCUUAGCUAAACAAUGGACAGAAGUGAGUACAAAAAUAGAAUAAUCUUGAUUACAAAUUAAUGCAUCUAGAAUAGAAAGGAAAUGAUCACAAUUCUCAAAAGAAUUGGGAAUUAUUAAGAAUCAUAUGAAAGAGCUCAAAAACCACGAAUUAAAAAAAAAAAAAUGCAAGUCAAAGCAACCCUGAAGUUUCACCUUUCACUCAGCAACUUACCAAAGAUGGCAAAAGAUAGGAAUAGACAAUGUUGAAGGGGUUGUGGAAAUACAGAUACACUAAUGCAUGGUUAGUAGGCUUGAAAAGUAGUAUAACCAUUCUGGAAAGUAAUCUGGAAUUAUAAAAUUAAAGUGGCUAAAAUGGCCAUACACUUUUUUGACUCGGAGAAUCCCCUGCUAGGCAUGUAUCUCACAAAGGUCACUGACAAAGAGAAAGGCUGUCCACAUACACUAAAAUAUAGCACUUUUUGUGUUAGCUGUCACUGCAAGCAAAAUAGAUUCCAUAACAACUGAGGAAUGGUUAAAUGAAAUCCUGCAAUGCUAUAAGAAGCUACAACCCUGAUGAAUAUAGAGAAGCACAGAGGACUUAUAUGAACUAUAGAACUCAACACGUGCAAACUUAACACAAUCAUUUCAAACUACGUGUCCUGUAGUUCUCUCUAACACACCGUCCAGAACAGAAUAUAUUAAACUUGAUACAAAGUAAAAUAAAAAGAGCCAAUAAAACAAGGUACACAAUUGCAUAACAUAGAUGGAAAAGAACCACCACCACAAGAGAAUAAAAAAUGAGUGUUGUAAAAUUAUAAAGAACAGUUGUCUGCAAAGAAGAGAUAUGAGGAGACAGCUCCCAUCACUCUUAUGCAGAGGUAGGGGACUCCAGAGAUGUGAAAGAUUCAUGUCAGAUUUUUUUUUUAAUGUAUUGACCAGUUUUUGCUAAAUUUUUUCAUUUCUUCAUAUUUCUUUCUCUUUUUUAAUUCUCUGUUAUAAGAUAUUGUCUCUGGGACAGGGAUGUAGAAGGGAAUUUAAAGAAUAUAAAAACAAGAUAUAAAUGCAAAUCUAUUUUUUAAAAAAGUAUUUUGGGGAUGCUAGAUGGUGAAGUGGAUACAGUGCUGGCCCUGAAGUCAGGAGGACCUGAGUUCAAAUCCAGCCUCAGAGACUUCAGACUUCCUAGCUAUAUGACCCUGGGCAAGUCAUUUUUAACCCCAAUUGCCUCAGCCAAAAAAAAAAAAAAAAACUUAUUAUUAUUAUUUUGAUACCCUAUGGAUUGUUUUUACUUAACUUGUUCUCUUUGUUACAAGGAUUCAUUCUUAGGGUGGGGAAUCCAGAAAUGUGAUAUAAAAAUAAAAGGAAUCGAUACUGGGGCCCACAUGAGUUCAAUGACCAUGGUUCCCAGUCAGCCAGGUUAAAAACUGUCAAGUUCCUGAGACAAUAAACAUUACUAUGUGCCAGGCAAUGUGUUAAGUGCAAGGGAUACAAAAAGGGGUAAAAGGCAGUCCCUGCCCUCCAACAGCCUAGUCUCCUGGGGAAUCACCAUUCCAACAACUGGGUACAAACAGAAGCUAAGAGAAGGCCCUAGAAUUAAGAGGGACCAGGAAAGGCAGAUUCAGGAGAAAGGUGAAGGUGAGGUUUUAGGUGGGACUUGAAGCCAGUGGGUAGAGAUGAGGAAGGAGAAGUGCAGGCCUGGGUUGGUGUCCUGGCCACCUCCUGCACUUCUCAGCUGGGUGGACGAGGCACCUGAGUUUGAGGGUGUGCUGCUUUCUCAAGGCCGCACCCUUCCAUUAUGGGGCUGCUUGGGGC